CUUUCUUUGCUGGCGACCGGCGCACGGGUGAGUAACACGUAUCCAACCUGCCCUUUACUCGGGGAUAGCCUUUCGAAAGAAAGAUUAAUACCCGAUAGCAUAAUGGUUCCGCAUGGUUUCAUUAUUAAAGGAUUCCGGUAAAGGAUGGGGAUGCGUUCCAUUAGGUUGUUGGUGAGGUAACGGCUCACCAAGCCUUCGAUGGAUAGGGGUUCUGAGAGGAAGGUCCCCCACAUUGGAACUGAGACACGGUCCAA
rnacentral:rRNA from 1 species